rnacentral:rRNA from 1 species
UGGGGAAUAUUGGACAAUGGGCGAAAGCCUGAUCCAGCCAUGCCGCGUGUGUGAAGAAGGUCUUCGGAUUGUAAAGCACUUUAAGUUGGGAGGAAGGGCAGUAAGCGAAUACCUUGCUGUUUUGACGUUACCGAUAGAAUAAGCACCGGCUAACUCUGUGCUAGCAGCUGCGGUAAUACAGAGGGUGCAAGCGUUAAUCGGAAUUACUGGGCGUAAAGCGCGCGUAGGUGGUUCGUUAAGUUGAAUGUGAAAGCCCCGGGAUCAACCUGGGAACUGCAUCCAAAACUGGCGAGCUAGAGUAGGGCAGAGGGUGGUGGAAUUUCCUGUGUAGCGGUGAAAUGCGUAGAUAUAGGAAGGAACACCAGUGGCGAAGGCGACCACCUGGGCUCAUACUGACACUGAGGUGCGAAAGCGUGGGGAGCAAACAGG